GACGAACGCUGGCGGCGUGCUUAACACAUGCAAGUCGAACGGUGAAGCGCCUUCCUUUUUGGUGGGUGUGGAUGAGUGGCGAACGGGUGAGUAACACGUGAGUAACCUGCCCCCUUCUUCUGGAUAACCGCAUGAAAGUGUGGCUAAUACGGGAUAUUCUGGGUCUGUCGCAUGAUGGGUCUGGGAAAGAUAUUGUUUCGGUGGGGGAUGGGCUCGCGGCCUAUCAGCUUGUUGGUGGGGUGAUGGCCUACCAAGGCGGUGACGGGUAGCCGGCCUGAGAGGGUGGACGGUCACACUGGGACUGAGACACGGCCCAGACUCCUACGGGAGGCAGCAGUGGGGAAUAUUGCACGAUGGGCGGAAGGCUGAUGCAGCGACGCCGCGUGAGGGAUGGAGGCCUUCGGGUUGUGAACCUCUUUCGCCAGUGAAGCAGGCCUGCCUCGUUUGUGGGUGGGUUGACGGUAGCUGGAUAAGAAGCGCCGGCUAACUACGUG
rnacentral:rRNA from 1 species